AAUCCAAUGAGGAAGCUCUCCCAAAAUUGAUAGGAAGUGCCGUAUGACACUCCAAAUCGCAGCGAGAAGCCACUCGACUGUGGUUCCCAUCCGCCAGUGAGCUCCGUCUCCGAUUCGUCUCUUUACCGGAGCGAUCUGGUUUCUUCGGGGUUUUUACUGGUCGGGAAUUUGCAGCCGGUUAUGUGAUUCUCCUGUGUGGUUGAUUUGAAACGGGUCUCUGAGGAUU